rnacentral:rRNA from 1 species
GGGACCUACGGGGGGCAGCAGUGAGGAAUAUUGGUCAAUGGGAGAGAUCCUGAACCAGCCAAGCCGCGUGAGGGAAGACGGCCCUAUGGGUUGUAAACCUCUUUUGUCGGAGAACAAAACCCGGGACGUGUCCCGGCCUGCGUGUAUCCGAAGAAAAAGCAUCGGCUAACUCCGUGCCAGCAGCCGCGGUAGUACGGAGGAUGCGGGCGUUAUCCGGCUUUAUUGGGUUUAAAGGGUGCGUAGGCGGUCCGUUA